UACGAAGGGGGCGAGCGUUGUUCGGAAUUACUGGCGUAAAGGGCGCGUAGGCGGCGACCCAAGUCAGAUGUGAAAGUCCUGGGCUUAACCUGGGGACUGCAUUUGAUACUGGGUUGCUUGAAUUCGGGAGAGGAUAGCGGAAUUCCCAGUGUAGAGGUGAAAUUCGUAGAUAUUCGCAAGAACACCAGUGGCGAAGGCGGCUCACUGGCCCGGUACUGACGCUGAGGUGCGAAAGCGUGGGGAGCAAACAGG
rnacentral:rRNA from 1 species